rnacentral:misc_RNA from 1 species
AAUCACAGAAAAAGGAAAGUUAAAACAAAAAAGAAGAGAUCAUGAACUAGGUGUUCUUCCAUCACACUCAUAGAAUGGCCCCAUAGUAGAGCAGAGAGUUAUUAGAAUGAAUUAUAUAAUGUAUAAUUAACAGCUGUUUAUAAAGUUGAAUCACUAGCAAAUCACACCAAACACGUUAUAUAUUUUUUGCAUACAGUAAUAGAUAGGCAAGUCGACAUUGCCGACCUUGCCCCAAAGAAAAGCAAUGCCAUUGAACACAAAACAAGGAAAACACACAACUCAAUGUUCCAGCUAUAAAUGAGAAACUCAAAUCAAAUCAACCAUUUUCAAAUAAUAUCUAACUUUGUUGUACCCUGCAAGAUUUUCUCCUUUUUCUUACCCUUUUUGUAAUGUUUUGGUAACCAAACUUGUUUGAACAAGUCUAAAAUAAUGGCAAGAACAAGUUUGAGAUAAUCCCACAGAAACAUUAGAAUUUGAGAGCAGAGAUUUUCUUCUUUUACAACAAGGGUUAGCUCUAUCCUCAUCUUACUCUGUCUAAAAGAUUAACAAAAAAAAAAAAGGAAAA